rnacentral:rRNA from 1 species
UGGGGAAUUUUGGACAGUGGGCGCAAGCCUGAUCCAGCCAUGCCGCGUGAGUGAUGAAGGCCCUAGGGUUGUAAAGCUCUUUCAGCGGGGAAGAUAAUGACGGUACCCGCAGAAGAAGCCCCGGCUAACUUCGAGCCAGCAGCCGCGGUAAUACGAAGGGGGCUAGCGUUGCUCGGAAUCACUGGGCGUAAAGCGCACGUAGGCGGCUUUCUAAGUCAGGGGUGAAAUCCCGGAGCUCAACUCCGGAACUGCCUUUGAUACUGGAAAGCUUGAGUCCGGGAGAGGUGAGUGGAACUGCGAGUGUAGAGGUGAAAUUCGUAGAUAUUCGCAAGAACACCAGCGGCGAAGGCGGCUCACUGGCCCGGUACUGACGCUGAGGUGCGAAAGCG